rnacentral:rRNA from 1 species
CGAAGGGGGCUAGCGUUGGCUCGGAAUUACUGGGCGUAAAGGGCGCGUAGGCGGACAGUUUAGUCAGAGGUGAAAGCCCAGGGCUCAACCUUGGAACUGCCUUUGAUACUGACUGUCUUGAGUUCGGGAGAGGUGAGUGGAAUGCCGAGUGUAGAGGUGAAAUUCGUAGAUAUUCGGCGGAACACCAGUGGCGAAGGCGACUCACUGGCCCGAUACUGACGCUGAGGCGCGAAAGCGUGGGGAGCAAACAGGAUUAGAUACCCUGGUAGUCCACGCCGUAAACGAUGAGUGCUAGUUGUCGGCAUGCAUGCAUGUCGGUGACGCAGCUAACGCAUUAAGCACUCCGCCUGGGGGAGUACGGUCGCAAGAUUA